AAGCAACAGCCGGAAUGGAUCCAGGGAACGUUGGAAGGGAAACGCCCCUACAGUCAUGAUGUUUCACUUAUUUCUCUCUCUGUUUACUUUAUCUUUAUAAAGUUUCCAUCUAAUUUCCUGAAGGUUAUUUUUUUCCAAUGUUUUCCUCUGAUCUAAACUUGCUCGGCAGCUUAAACUCAGUUUAACCGUUUUUUGUAGUUUCUCCUCCUCUGACUCGUCUUCUCUGUCUUCGCAGCUCUGGUGACGUUAAAGCCGGCUCAUCGUCUCACGCCGUUCCUCCGCGCUACAGGAAAAGUCCGUGGACUGCAGCCACUCUCGCUCAGGAGGCCAAAGAACUGACGCGGUCCAUCAGAGCCAUCCUGGAGGUGGACUUGCUGACCUUCUAGGGAGAACCUGCUACGGGAGACCAAAAUCUCUGAGGCAUCAGCAGGACUUCAGCAGACUCUUAAUUCUCCUCCUCAUCUCCUCACCUCCUGCUAACGGACUCCUUCAGCAAACCUGCAUGACGCGUUUGUUUUAGCGAAGCUGGACGGCUGCAUUCUGGCGCUUUAACCUGCAGACAGUUUCCUGCACGUUAACAUGCUGGGAAAACCGCUGUCUGAUGGGAACGUUUCUGAUCAGUCUGCAGGUGGAACUCCUCUAACGUUGGUGUAGACCUAACUCCCUCCCAUCUUCUGUAGCCCCUUCAUGGACUUAUAGAUCGGAGACCUCAGCAUCAAUGUUCAAAUGGUUGCCAUAUCGUGUAGCUGCCACUCCACCCAGACUCCACACGCCAAGUUUCUGUAACUUCCUGUAACUGUUAGCUGCUCAGUGUGUAGCUUUGUGUCUCAGAGGCUGAACGCUCGUCUUAGUGCAGUAGAUUAGCCCCGAAAACGAAGCAGGAGGAGAAACCCUUCUCAUCUGAUUCCCUCACCAACGCUCCGGGGGGAGGAAGCUGGAAAAAUGGGAAUGUUUCCUUCCCAUCUGGCGUUAUCAGCUGUUUGAUCCUUUUGGAGUAAAUUUUCAGAUUCAUGUUGUUGUUUUGUUACCAGGAUUAGCUUCGUGAAGCUGUUGUCCUGUUUGACCAGCUGGGCUGUGAUUGAUAUCAUCCAAUGAAAUAAAUAUUUUGAUUUGAAGAAAAAA